GCAAAGUGGAGCCCACCUCCAGCAUGGAUAAAAAAACUAAUAAAAAUUUAAACUGCGCAAAUUUUUCUUAAGCACAUUCAACCAUUGCAAAAUAGAGGCACAAUGUCUUGGAGACCCAUUCUACUUACCUAACCAGGAACAUGCCUCAGUUCCAGUUCUGGGUAUAAAACGAAACAAAAUUUUAAUGGUUUCUUCAGCACUGUAUAAUGAAUGCAAAAUCUCCACUGAGAAGAAUUUCAAGCAAAGCACCACCAUCAAUAUAGAACUCAGAAAGGCGAUGGCUAUAGUAUAUUAACAAACCAUUCGCAGCAGAGUUCAUGAAUGUGAGCAAAGCAACUGGGUAUGGGGGUUGGGGUUCUGUGGGAGUGGGGUAGAAAAAACCAGAGGGAGAGGAUGAUGGGUCUCGAUGGGGAAGUGGGGGAGCGGAGAAGAAAUUGGAGGAGGUGUAAGAAAUCAGUAGGGGUGGGGAGGGGCGGUGGGGUUUUAGGUUCUGCCCUUGGAGAAUGGGUUGUCGGGGAAGGGGGCCCACGGGUUUCUGGUUCUGCGCAAGGAGCGGGUGGGUUGCGGGUUAGGGGGAGUGUUGUGCGGAAGCGUCAACUAACUGUAAGUGAAAAAUAAACAACAACUUACAAGAGAUAAAAAAAAAAAAAAGGAUAAACAGUCGAAAACCCCCCUAACUAUAACACUUGUCGAGAUGUCCACCCUGAAUAAUUUUUUUAGCCAAUUUAACCAUCAGACUAUUUUAAAUGUUCAAUUUAACUCCCUCCGUUAGUUUCCAUGUAGUUUCAUCCAAUUUUCUGUUUAAAUGUCACGUGUUAGGCACGUUAAAAGUUAAAUUUUUAAUGUUUAAAAUAAUUAAAUGUUUAAAAUUACAAAACUGAAAGAAGAAAAAAAAAAGGGAAAAACAAAGGGAAGGCAAUCAAUGUCUUCCCCAACC
rnacentral:lncRNA from 1 species